CACGAACCGGACGAACGUUAUUCGGAAUCACUGGGCUUAAAGAGUCCGUAGGCGGCUUUGUAGGUGAGGUGUGAAAUCCCACGGCCCAACCGUGGAAUUGCGCUUCAAACCACAUCGCUAGAGGGAGAUAGAGGUGAGCGGAACUGAUGGUGGAGCGGUGAAAUGCGUUGAUAUCAUCAGGAACACCGGUGGCGAAAGCGGCUCACUGGGUCUCUUCUGACGCUGAGGGACGAAAGCUAGGGUAGCGAACGGG
rnacentral:misc_RNA from 1 species